rnacentral:rRNA from 1 species
CUGGAGAUACUACAUGACUUGGAGGCGGGAGAGGCUGCCGGUAGUCCUGGGGUAGGAGUGAAAUCCUCUGAUCCCAGGAGGACCUGCAGUGGCGAAGGCGGGCAGCCAGAACGCGCUCGACGUUGAGGGGCGAAAGCUGGGGGAGCGAACCGGAUUAGAUAACCGGGUAGUCCCACCGUAACNCCAGCAAUUUUUNNNNCGAGCACAGGAACUNCGUCGAGCACG